rnacentral:lncRNA from 1 species
CUCCUUCCUAAGGACUUUGACUUGAUUACUCACAAGAACACUGUAAUAUGUUUCACAACUAAGUAAUUCUCCAAUAGUAUCGAAAAGAAAGUUGAUAAAGCUUGCCUGAAGUAUAUAAUGUGGUUCUGAUCUACCAAACAAUUCCAGCAGGUUUUGAAGAGUGAAAAGCUCCUUAAUGUAUGGCAUGAAAGAGAGAAUGAUUUCUAAAAAGUUUUUGUAAUGUUCAGUCUCUCCGUAUAAGAUGCAGUUGGAGGCUGCAUCAUCAAGGCACUUCAACAGAUCAAUAAAUCACCGGCUGAAGUAAUUUUCCUUGAGUAAUAUGUAUUUAUAGUGCAGUUCUUUUGCAUAUUUUAGACAAAACAGAGAAAGAGGGGGGGGGGGGUAAGAUUGAUUAGAAUUAGUCAUAUGAACAUCUCUAAUUAUAGGGAAAGUUGGUUGAACGUAGACCUUAACCUGAUCAAGUUGGUAUAUUAAGAUAAUUUAAUUAAUGGAAUAAUAAACAAGUGGUGUAAUAUAAUAUCAAAUGAUUUUGUUUUGCUCUUAAAGGUCAACUAGGGAAUAUCUCGACUGAAGAUGCUUUUAUUAAAUUUCCAGUUCCCACCAGAAAUCUCAAUUGAAGGAAAGAAAAAAUUUCAGAUAGGAAUCCACGAAACAAUUUUCACCCUCAUGAAGGAAUCCAUUGAACUUCGGCUAUUGA